AUUGAACGCUGGCGGCAGGCCUAACACAUGCAAGUCGAGCGGAUGAAGGGAGCUUGCUCCUGGAUUCAGCGGCGGACGGGUGAGUAAUGCCUAGGAAUCUGCCUGGUAGUGGGGGAUAACGUCCGGAAACGGGCGCUAAUACCGCAUACGUCCUGAGGGAGAAAGUGGGGGAUCUUCGGACCUCACGCUAUCAGAUGAGCCUAGGUCGGAUUAGCUAGUUGGUGGGGUAAAGGCCUACCAAGGCGACGAUCCGUAACUGGUCUGAGAGGAUGAUCAGUCACACUGGAACUGAGACACGGUCCAGGCUCCUACGGGAGGCAGCAGUGGGGAAUAUUGGACAAUGGGCGAAAGCCUGAUCCAGCCAUGCCGCGUGUGUGAAGAAGGUCUUCGGAUUGUAAAGCACUUUAAGUUGGGAGGAAGGGCAGUAAGUUAAUACCUUGCUGUUUUGACGUUACCAACAGAAUGAGCACCGGCUAACUUCGUG
rnacentral:rRNA from 1 species